rnacentral:lncRNA from 1 species
AACAAAAUGCAAAACGAAAGACAAAACCCAACUACAGAGGGAAUAUCAUAACACAUAGCCAAAAAUGGCAAGAGUUGGAGUUACAAAUAUGGAAAGUUACAUCCGGGGUGUUACAGUUACGCCUCAUGGUAGUCUUCCAGCAAAAAUAAUUGAUACUACAUAAACAUGAUAGAACCAAGUACUAUUCAUGCCAUAAACAUUUCAAGCUUAGGAACCCAAUAUUAAUCAUACCACGGGUCGAGGUUUUACAUCUUGAAUGCUAUGGAAAUGACGGUAGCAAAAUCAGGAGGAUUGAGGACGAUACAUGCUCCAGAAUUGUUGUAACUGUCCUUGGAAGUCUGUAGCAGAAUCAAAUAUUGAUUGUUAGAACUCAUUUCAGAUAGAAGUAAAACAACAAAUUUAACUAUACAAUUAAUACAUGGUUAGUUGGUCAAUAUCCUUCCUGAACAUGAAUUUGAAUUGUGUGGAUGCAUACUACUACCUGCAAAAGCAUGAUAGAUAUCAUCACCAUAUAUGUUUCUCUUCUUGUGUUUUGGUUGCAUUAUCUGUCAAGUAAUUUAUGAUUUCUCGAACUCCUAACUGAGCAGCAAAAUAAUAACAGAGAUUGUUACAGCCUUUGACUCACCUCUAUGAGCAGCAGUGAGUUGACGAUGAUCCUGAAAAAAAUAAGGGAACCAAAAGAGCUACAUUACUUCCACUCCGAAGUAGUGUAACAAGUAUUGCAGGAAAUAUUUUUGAUCUAGAAAAUGAAACUAUCCAUUAGUUGCACAAUAAAUCUCUCGUGCUAGUUGUUCAAUCUAGCAGUUUGGUGGCAUGGACAGAACAGACUUUCAGAGUUUCAGUACUUCUUUCGUUUGAACCUUAAGACAUAACCAAGCACAUAGGGGAUAAACCAUCCAGCACACUUUCCUUGCUAUAAGAGAGCAUACAACUGAAGCAGAUCUCCAUCAUUAAAAUUGUUGAUUUUUAUCAUAACAUUCCAAGAAGAGACAAUUUCCCGGUUAUUAAUUUAAUUUACAACUAAUUUCCGCGCAAAAGAUAGCUUUCUAGUUGGAGAUGUACAAUUAAAAGAAUAUGUUAAGUUGGCUGGACACGUUAUUCCAUUCCGGAUAAGUAUUGCUAGAUUUAAGCUGGUUGGUCAUGUAAACUAAUAGUAUUUCAACUACAUAUUUGCAGAAAUCGAUUACAGCCGUGCGCAGGAAGACUCAUCCCAGCUUCUCGCUGGAUUACAGUCGAUUACACCACUUUCAGCUUGCUCUUAUGGCAGUCAGGUGUGAGCCUAGUUGUUUGAACAACACAGAGGUACAAAAUUAAUUAAAAAUAGCAUGAGUGCCAUCUUAAUAUCCUCUCUAUCUCUCUCUCGGUUGGGUGGGAAAGACGGGACAAGCUGCAAAUAUACAAGGUGGGAGAAGGGCCGGUUCGUACCUUCAGGAGAAGAAGCAGGCGCUAAGCCUCUGCCGCCGCUGGUAGCCCGCCGGAGUAUCCCCUCUUCGCCGCCCCGCAGGCCCUCGCCCGCCAAUCCCAUCUUCCUCCCUUGCUGUGCCGCAGUGGAAGAGCCAGGUGCAGAUCGAGGGAAGGGAGCCGGCGGCGUAGAUCGAGAGAGGGAGAGACAAGGAAGGUUUCAUCACGACUUCACGAGCCAAAGAGAGGAAUGAGCGUUGUAUGCGGAGUCAGGGUGCAGUGCGUGGAAUAUUCCUAUG